GGAACAGGUGCCUCACGGACGUGCUUGCUCACUGGGCGGGGGAAGAGUGAAGGUAAUCUCAUACCUGCGCAGGAUCUUCAGGAAGCCAACCUUGACCAGAAAGCUGCUGUCGCUGUCCUGGGUGGCCAUGACCACCGAGUCAUGAAGCCUCUCAUCAAAGCAGACGUGGCUCUGGGAGUAUUACAGGUCGAGAAAAUGUGGGUCGUGACCAACUCAGUAUACCACUGGAGGCUAUAUGAGUAAACAGAAAACUGUUCUCAUGAAAGCAGGAUGUUGGAAAACUGAGGGCUGCAUCUGCCCACAGAGGGAGUGCUGAGAGCAGUCACGCCCCAAGCGCAGUGUUCCUUGUGAUUACCUAUAGGAACAUCUGAAGCCUGUUGUACAAAGAAAGCAAUUAUGUGUACCUGUGAUAAAUCAAGCAACUGACCAACCGUUACCUCUCCCUCCCUGCUCUUUCUACCUAAUAAAUACGAAGGGCUGUGGAAGCUCAGGGCUGCCCUUGUUCACUAGAAGCAAGGAGCCCCCUGACCCCUUCUUUCAAAACAGA
rnacentral:lncRNA from 10 species